GGCAGUGGUAGCUCAGUGGUUAAGAUGUUGGACUAGUAAUCAGAAGGUUGUGAGUUUAAAUCCCAAGCUGCCA